GACGAACGCUGGCGGCGUGCUUAACACAUGCAAGUCGAACGGAAAGGCCCUGCUUUUGUGGGGUGCUCGAGUGGCGAACGGGUGAGUAACACGUGAGUAACCUGCCCUUGACUUUGGGAUAACUUCAGGAAACUGGGGCUAAUACCGGAUAGGAGCUCCUGCUGCAUGGUGGGGGUUGGAAAGUUUCGGCGGUUGGGGAUGGACGCGCGGCUUAUCAGCUUGUUGGUGGGGUAGUGGCUUACCAAGGCUUUGACGGGUAGCCGGCCUGAGAGGGUGACCGGCCACAUUGGGACUGAGAUACGGCCCAGACUCCUACGGGAGGAAGCAGUGGGGAAUAUUGCACAAUGGGCGGAAGCCUGAUGCAGCAACGCCGCGUGCGGGAUGACGGCCUUCGGGUUGUAAACCGCUUUCGCCUGUGACGAAGCGUGAGUGACGGUAAUGGGUAAAGAAGCACCGGCUAACUACGUG
rnacentral:rRNA from 1 species